rnacentral:rRNA from 1 species
UACAGAGGAUGCAAGCGUUAUUCGGAAUGAUUGGGCGUACAGCGUCUGUAGGUGGCUUUUUAAGUCCGCCGUCAAAUCCCAGGGCUCAACCCUGGACAGGCGGUGGAAACUACCAAGCUGGAGGACGGGAGGGGCAGAGGGAAUUUCCGGUGGAGCGGUGAAAUGCGUAGAGAUCGGAAAGAACACCAACGGCGAAAGCGCUCUGCUGGGCCGACACUGACACUGAGGGACGAAAGCUAGGGGAGCGAAUGGG